GACGAACGCUGGCGGCGUGCUUAACACAUGCAAGUCGAACGGAAAGGCCCUGCUUGUUUGGUGUGCUCGAGUGGCGAACGGGUGUGAAACACGUGAGUAACGUGCCCUUGACUUUGGUAUAACUUCAGGAAACUGGGUCUAAUACCGGAUAGGUGCUCCUGCUGCAUGGUGGGGGUUGGAAAGUUUCGGCGGUUGGGGAUGGACUCGCGGCUUAUCAGCUUUUUGGUGGGGUAGUGGCUUACCAAGGCUUUGACGGGUAGCCGGCCUGAGAGGGUGACCGGCCAAAAUGGGAAUGGGGUAAGGGCCAGACUCCUACGGGAGGGAGCAGGGGGGAAUAAUGCACAAAGGGCGGAAGCCUGAUGCAGCAACGCCGCGUGCGGGAUGAAGGCCUUCGGGGUGUAAACCGCUUUCGCCUGUGACGAAGCGGGAGUGACGGUAAUGGGUAAAGAAGGACCGGCUAAAUACGUG
rnacentral:rRNA from 1 species